rfam:Triticum aestivum genome assembly, contig: Triticum_aestivum_CS42_TGACv1_scaffold_407425_5BL
AUACACACUCCUACUGAUUGAAUGGUCCAGUGAAGUGUUUGAAUUGUAGGGACAGGGGCGGUUCGUCGCCCCCGACGUCGUGAGAAGUCCAUUCAACCUUAUUAUUUAGAGGAAGGAGAAGCCAUAAUAAGGUUUCCAUGGGUGAACCUGCGAAAG